GACGAACGCUGGCGGCGUGCCUAAUACAUGCAAGUAGAACGCACAGUUUAUACCGUAGCUUGCUACACCAUAGACUGUGAGUUGCGAACGGGUGAGUAACGCGUAGGUAACCUGCCUGGUAGCGGGGGAUAACUAUUGGAAACGAUAGCUAAUACCGCAUAAUAUUAAUUAUUGCAUGAUAAUUGAUUGAAAGGUGCAAAUGCAUCACUACCAGAUGGACCUGCGUUGUAUUAGCUAGUAGGUGAGGUAACGGCUCACCUAGGCGACGAUACAUAGCCGACCUGAGAGGGUGAUCGGCCACACUGGGACUGAGACACGGCCCAGACUCCUACGGGAGGCAGCAGUAGGGAAUCUUCGGCAAUGGACGAAAGUCUGACCGAGCAACGCCGCGUGAGUGAAGAAGGUUUUCGGAUCGUAAAGCUCUGUUGUAAGAGAAGAACGGGUGUGAGAGUGGAAAGUUCACACUGUGACGGUAUCUUACCAGAAAGGGACGGCUAACUACGUGCCAGCAGCCGCGGUAAUACGUAGGUCCCGAGCGUUGUCCGGAUUUAUUGGGCGUAAAGCGAGCGCAGGCGGUUAGAUAAGUCUGAAGUUAAAGGCUGUGGCUUAACCAUAGUACGCUUUGGAAACUGUUUAACUUGAGUGCAGAAGGGGAGAGUGGAAUUCCAUGUGUAGCGGGUGAAAUGCGUAGAUAUAUGGAGGAACACCGGUGGCGAA
rnacentral:rRNA from 1 species